GAAAUGCGAUAAGUAAUGUGAAUUGCAGAAUUCAGUGAAUCAUCGAAUCUUUGAACGCACAUUGCGCCCCUUGGUAUUCCAUGGGGCAUGCCUGUUCGAGCGUCAUUUGUACCCUCAAGCUCUGCUUGGUGUUGGGUGUUUGUCCCCGUCUCCGCGCGUGGACUCGCCCCAAAGUGAUUGGCAGCCGGCGUACUGGUCCCGGAGCGCAGCACAUGUCGCGCAAACGAGUGCCUUGGUACGGCGGCGUCCAUAAGCCCCUCUCUCACGCUCUUGACCUCGGAUCAGGUAGGGAUACCCGCUGAACUUAA
rnacentral:misc_RNA from 1 species